GACGAACGCUGGCGGCGUGCCUAACACAUGCAAGUCGAGCGGAGAUGGGAUGAGAGCUUGCUCUUGUUUCAUCUUAGCGGCGGACGGGUGAGUAACACGUGGGCAACCUACCUUCUACUGGGGGAUAACACCGGGAAACCGGUGCUAAUACCGCAUAAUACUGCUGGGAGGCAUCUUUCGGCAGUCAAAGGAGGGAUCCGGUGGAAGAUGGGCCCGCGGCCGAUUAGCUAGUUGGUGAGGUAACGGCUCACCAAGGCGACGAUCGGUAGCCGGACUGAGAGGUUGGCCGGCCACAUUGGGACUGAGACACGGCCCAGACUCCUACGGGAGGCAGCAGUGGGGAAUAUUGCGCAAUGGGGGGAACCCUGACGCAGCGACGCCGCGUGAAGGAAGAAGGCCUUCGGGUCGUAAACUUCUUUAAUCGGGGACGAAGUAAGUGACGGUACCCGAUAAAAAAGCCACGGCUAACUACGUG
rnacentral:rRNA from 1 species